AUGAGGAGGUUCUUGCCGGCGGGAGCAGGGGAGCCCUCCUCCUCCUCCUCGUCGGGUCCGCACGGGAAGCACGAGGGCAGCGAGGCCGCCGCUGCUGGCGGCGGUCUGCGCUACGGAGGGGGAGACAUCUCGCUGGGGCGCGGCAACGACCUCCUCCACGGCCAGUUCCGCGGAGGCGAGGGGGAGAUGAAGGACGAUGGAGCGGACAUGCUGGCCCGGCACAGCAGCUCGCCGGCGGGGUUCUUCUCCAACCUCAUGGUGGAUGACGGAUAUCAUGGCUCUAGAGGCGCCGGAGUAGCUGGUGGCAGCGUUGGCGGCGAGGCCCACCGUAACACCAGUAGCAGCACGAAGAUGAAGUCACAGCUAAGCUUCACCGCCGGCGGGCCACAGACAGCUGCGCACCUCUCGCGUAUCUCCGAGGGCGCCUCCUUAUUCCCCGGCGCCGCUGCGCACCCGGGCGGCGAGCACCCCGUGUCGCGUUCCUUCUCGGCCAGCGGCAGUAGCGGGGGCUUCUCUAUCGUGGGGCCGUGGGAUGAGUCGAGGGAGAUCAUCGGCACCCUCGACCUCGGCGGUUACGAGUCUCAGUUCAGUGGCAUGGCGAGCUCGUCGUCGCUGGAGCUGGCGGGGAUGGACAAGUACAUGCAGGCGCAGCAGCAGCAGGACCAGGUGGCGUUCAAGGUGCGGGCCAAGCGCGGCUGCGCGACGCACCCGAGGAGCAUCGCCGAGAGGGAGCGGAGGACGAGGAUCAGCGACAAGCUCAGGAAGCUGCAGGACCUAGUGCCCAACAUGGACAAGCAAACGAGCACCUCCGACAUGUUGGACCUCGCGGUGGAGCACAUCAAGGGCCUCCAGAGCCAGCUGCAGGCUAUGAAGCACGAGCAGGACAAAUGCACCUGCUGCAACAAGCCUUGA
rnacentral:rRNA from 1 species